UAACCGUAGGUGAACCUGCGGUUGGAUCAUUAACAAAAAGAUAAAAGUCGGGCCUUAAACCGCCCGGCUUUUAUAAACACCUGUGAACUGUAAUUGUAUCUGGUGGGUUAAAAGAGGUGGAAACACCUUGGUGAUAUCACUACCCACCAUCAAAUUUUGAACUUGUAUAUCUUGAACUAGUUUUUGUUUUAAUAAAAAAAUAACAACUUUUGACAACGGAUCUCUAGGCUCUC
rnacentral:misc_RNA from 1 species